rnacentral:rRNA from 1 species
CGCCAGCCUGACGGAGCCAGACCGCGUGGGGGAGGAAGGCCCUUGGGUUGUAAACCCCUUUUCUCAGGGAAGAAAUCUGACGGUACCUGAGGAAUCAGCCUCGGCUAACUCCGUGCCAGCAGCCGCGGUAAUACGGAGGAGGCAAGCGUUAUCCGGAAUCAUUGGGCGUAAAGCGUUCGUAGGCGGCUGUUCAAGUCUGCUGUCAAAGACCGAGGCUCAACCUCGGGUCGGCAGUGGAAACUGGAUAGCUAGAGGUCGGUAGGGGCAAAGGGAAUUCCCAGUGUAGCGGUGAAAUGCGUAGAUAUUGGGAAGAACACCGGUGGCGAAAGCGCUUUGCUGGACCGAACCUGACGCUGAGGGACGAAAGCUAAGGUAGCG